rnacentral:rRNA from 1 species
GCUAAAAGCCUAGCUCCAACCAUACUUAUGCAACCUCUCCACCUAUUUCUUAAAACUAAAACAUUUUAACAGUUUAGUAAAGGAGAUUGAAAAAUUUAUUGAAGCAAUAUAAUUAGUACCGCAAGGGAAAGAUGAAAUAUGAAUGAAAAAUCUUUAAGCAAGAUAAAGUAGAGAUUUACCCUCGUACCUUUUGCAUCAUGGUUCAACUAGUCCAACCAAGCAAAAAGCAUUAUAGUUUGACACCCCGAAACUAGGCGAGCUACUUCGAGGCAGCCUUUAGAGCUAACCCGUCUCUGUGACAAAAGAGUGGGAAGACCACCAAGUAGCGGCGACAAACCAACCGAGCCUAGUGAUAGCUGGUUACUCAAGAAAAGGAUUUAAGUCCAACCUAAAGUCCUCCCCUUACACCAAAAAUGCCCUGACUUUAGAGCAAUUCAAAUAAGGUACAGCCUAUUUGAAACAGGAUACAACCUCACCUGAUGGCUAAAAUUUAUUUUAUAACUUCAAGUUGGCCUAAAAGCAGCCAUCUUUUAAAAAGCGUCAUAGCUUAGUCUUAAAUUAACUUCAAUCUCAUGCCUACAUUUUAACCCUCUAUCAGUACUGAGUAAUUCUAUACCGUUAUAGAAGAUUUUAUGUUGAAACUAGUAACAAGAAGUCAGACCUUCUCUUAAAUGCAAGCAUAAAUCAGAAAGGACCGACCACUGAUAAUUAACGCUAAUGAUCACCAAUCAGCAACUUCCAAAGAAAAAUCUUAUUAUCACCAGCGUUAACCUGACACAAGAGCAUUUCAAGAAAGAUUUAAAGAAAGAGAAGGAACUCGGCAAACAUUAACCCCGCCUGUUUACCAAAAACAUCGCCUCUUGAACAAAAAUAAGAGGUCCAGCCUGCCCAGUGACUAAUGUUCAACGGCCGCGGUAUCCUAACCGUGCGAAGGUAGCGUAAUCACUUGUUCUUUAAAUGAGGACUAGUAUGAACGGCACCACGAGGGUUAUACUGUCUCCUCUCUCUAAUCAGUGAAACUAAUCCCCCCGUGAAGAAGCGGGGAUAAAACUAUAAGACGAGAAGACCCUAUGGAGCUUUAAACUUAUCCUCAAACGCCAAAAUCACACACCAAGUUUUAAACUUCACCAUAUGAACUCUCGCGCCAUGAGGACAAUUUUUAGGUUGGGGUGACCAUGGAGUAUAAAAUAACCUCCAUGCUGAAUAGGCCUCCAAGCCUCGAGCCAAGGGCUACGACCCAUCGCACUAAAAUAUUAACAUCCAUUGAUCCAAUGUACUUUGAUCAACGAACCAAGUUACCCUAGGGAUAACAGCGCAAUCUACUUCAAGAGUUCCUAUCGACAAGUGGGUUUACGACCUCGAUGUUGGAUCAGGGUGUCCCAGUGGUGCAGCCGCUACUAAUGGUUCGUUUGUUCAACGAUUAAAACCCU